AACCUUGCAUACAGCAAGGUUAAGCUUUUGAACUCCCCAAAAAAUGGAUAAAAUGCCUGGUUGUUCAUAAUUAGACUUCUGUCUGAACAAUUCACGACCCCAAAGUGACCGGCAUGCACACCUCACACCGCACCACAUUUUUUACAGAAAUAAUAUUGGCUGCCGCCGUGUACGGAUCGAUUUAAAGUUAUUCAGCAGUUGUUGCCUUUAGGGGUGAAGACUAUUGUGCUGUUUGCUUGGUGUGAUGAUACUUGAAAAUAUCAAGUCCACACUGAUUCAUGAGCAUAAAAACAAUGUUUGGACUUGUUGAGAUUUUCUCCUUGGCGUUAAGAUCAAUAUCUUACAGUUACUAUUUCAGCAAUAACAGACAGCAGGAAGGAAUAGCAGUGCUUCAUUUCAAGCAGACAAAGGGAAACAAUGAGUAGUAGCUCUUUAAUCUGAAGAUCUGCUGUUGUCAAGUCAACAUCCUCUCCGCCGAAUGUGUCUUCAGUACAAACAAAGCUGUAACUACAAGGCAGAGAGGCGACGCAGUUUCAGACUGCAUAUUCUUUAUAUAUUAUUGUUGUGUUUUUCUACUGGCUGCUCAAGCAGAAACUCCAUUAACCUCCUGCUUAUUUAUGUUCUGCAAAAAGCUUCGAGACAUCAUUAUGAAGUCAGAUGAAAUCCUCACUGUUCAGAAAUGAAAAAGAAAUGCAGAUUGACAUUUUAAAGGCAUCAUGUUCAUCUUGAAAUGCAGUUGGUACAUCUUUGUCCCUUUUUGACUUGAUCUAAUGGCUCCCUGUAUGUCUCACCAUUAUUCCCCAUUUCGGUGUCAGAACACAAAGAGCAGCUGAUUGUUUACUGGAUGACACUUUUUUGUCUUUCUCUCUUUUUUAACACUGAGGGUUUCGGCUGGAGUAGAACAUUGUUCAUACAGCGGCUUGUGUAAGUUUUUUAUUUUUUUACGUUUUGCCAUUUAACACCCACAGCCUUCCAUGUAUUUUAUUGAAAUGCUUUUCGGCAAACAAGCAGAAAGUAAAAGAGUAUUAAAAGUGGAGGAAGAAUCAUUAUUUUACAUAUGAACAGCAUGUGUUUCCAGCUAUAACCCAAAAUAACAUCCAAAAUAACAAUACAUUCAACAACCAACCAGAGCUACAAUAGCAUAGUUCCGAUGAAAAUACAGUCACGAUAGAAUGGCCUAGUCAAAGUCCACACCUAAAUUCAGUGGAAAUAUUUGAGCAAGAAUUUGAAAAUGACUCUCUGUCUGAGUUUUAGCUAUUUUCCAAAGAAGAAUGAGUAAAAAUCAGGCGUUUGAGCUGAAUUCAUAAACACUACUUUGCAUUUGUCUGUCACAUAAUAUUCCAAUAAAAUACAUUUAAAUGUAUGGCUAUAGAGUGACAAAAUGUGGAAAAGAAGUGAGGAACAAUUUGAUUCCAAGCAAUUGUAUUUAUCCUAAUAUGCUGAAAGUACAGAAGGUGGAAAAUGUUUUUCUGCUGAAGGAGUGGUGUUAAUCUGAAACUCUUCUGAGAGUUUCAGAUUAACUCUCAGAAGUUAAUCUGAGAGUUAAUCUGGCAGGUUGCUGCUCUGCUCUCUAUCUAUCUCUAUCCAGGGAAUUUUUUUAUCUGCGCUUCAAGAAAAAGUUUUCAACAUCUGUUAUGAGCAGAGUUGCAGUCGAAAAUGGAACCCCCUCCACUCUGUAUUUUGUAAGAUGUUCCUCUGAUUUAUCUUUUCCACUUACAUUUGGAAAUAACACGUGCAAAAUUAGUUUUUACACAGCAGAAAGCAGCUUGGAGAAAAUAUUUGCCGACGCCGAUCAGAAGAAAAUUGACAGCAGAACUUCUGCAAGCCUGCAGGGACAAUAUCUUCCAUGGAAAGCUCAUCGACACGUUGAGGACUGAAACCGGUUGCAGUUGAGGCUGAGUGUCAGAAUAAUCCAGUGACAGAAGUAGGACGGCUCAUGCAGUUGUCACGCUUCAAAAACAAACCCACAGAAAAAACCCCAAUACUGUCUCCAUCAUGAAAGGUUCAGCGGUCUUGGAUCAGUCAGCUCUCGAAGUGGGAAAAGCUUACAAACCUUUUCAAAGGCAGACAAUCAGCUGUGCAAAACGCCUGGGUGGACCGAGUGCCGCCUUGGAGACGCAGCUCCUCCUCAGAGCGGAUGUUUCCAAGCUUCAGAGCUUUCUCCUCACAGAGCUAAAAGCCUUUUGAUUCAAUCUCGAACUAAUUGCUUAGCUUGCAUCACCAGAAGGCAAGGUAAGCCAUUUUUUGGGUAUUGAAAUUUUCAGGAUGGUUUUUUUAAAAAUCAUACACAUAAUCGUAGCGAUAAAAAUUUAGUCUUAUAUGUUCAAUAUUUAAGUUUGUUUCUAAUGACACAUACUUUUCAAACAAGGUGCCCUUUUUCCACCGGAGCAACUGUUCCCAAAAUGUCUGUGCACGCCACUGCUGCCCACCCACUAUAGAGCCUUUAUUCAAUUAUAAGGAAAAACCAUCCAAGUCGUGUAGAGUUGAGUUGCGUCGACAGGUCGGUGGAAAUUUUCAUAAGUGAUGUUCUUGAUUAGGGAGUGAUUUGAGUGUGAACAGUUUGGUAAUUAAGGCUG